AUUGAACGCUGGCGGCAGGCCUAACACAUGCAAGUCGAGCGGGGUUUUCGGACCUAGCGGCGGACGGGUGAGUAAUGCGUAGGAAGCUACCCGAUAGAGGGGGAUACCAGUUGGAAACGACUGUUAAUACCGCAUAAUGUCUACGGACCAAAGUGUGGGACCUUCGGGCCACAUGCUAUCGGAUGCGCCUACGUGGGAUUAGCUAGUUGGUGGGGUAAUGGCUCACCAAGGCGACGAUCCCUAGCUGGUUUGAGAGGAUGAUCAGCCACACUGGAACUGAGACACGGUCCAGACUCCUACGGGAGGCAGCAGUGGGGAAUAUUGGACAAUGGGCGCAAGCCUGAUCCAGCCAUGCCGCGUGUGUGAAGAAGGCCUUCGGGUUGUAAAGCACUUUCAGUAAGGAGGAAGCGUUGAGUGUUAAUAGUACUCAGCGUUGACGUUACUUACAGAAGAAGCACCGGCUAACUCUGUGCCAGCAGCCGCCGUAAAAC
rnacentral:rRNA from 1 species